rnacentral:rRNA from 1 species
AGAGUUUGACCCUGGCUCAGGACGAACGCUGGCGGCGUGCCUAACACGUGCAAGUCGAACGGAGAUCCGCGCUGAAUGACGAAGCUUGCUUUUGAAUUCUUGUGUAUCUUAGUGGCGGACGGGUGAGUAACGCGUGAGCAACCUGCCUUUCAGAGGGGGAUAACGUUUGGAAACGAACGCUAAUACCGCAUGAGACUACAGUACUACAUGGUACAGUGGCCAAAGGAGCAAUCCGCUGAAAGAUGGGCUCGCGUCCGAUUAGAUAGUUGGCGGGGUAACGGCCCACCAAGUCGACGAUCGGUAGCCGGACUGAGAGGUUGAACGGCCACAUUGGGACUGAGACACGGCCCAGACUCCUACGGGAGGCAGCAGUGAGGGAUAUUGGUCAAUGGGGGAAACCCUGAACCAGCAACGCCGCGUGAGGGAAGACGGUUUUCGGAUUGUAAACCUCUGUCCUCUGUGAAGAUAAUGACGGUAGCAGAGGAGGAAGCUCCGGCUAACUACGUGCCAGCAGCCGCGGUAAUACGUAGGGAGCAAGCGUUGUCCGGAUUUACUGGGUGUAAAGGGUGCGUAGGCGGCCUUGCAAGUCAGAAGUGAAAUCUAUGGGCUUAACCCAUAAACUGCUUUUGAAACUGUAAGGCUUGAGUGAAGUAGAGGCAGGCGGAAUUCCCGGUGUAGCGGUGAAAUGCGUAGAGAUCGGGAGGAACACCAGUGGCGAAGGCGGCCUACUGGGCUUUAACUGACGCUGAGGCACGAAAGCGUGGGUAGCAAACAGGAUUAGAUACCCUGGUAGUCCACGCUGUAAACG